UAGGUUCUUCUACUGCAGUAUUGUGAAGAAGGUCUAGAUGAGUCUCUGCUAAAUACUUGAAAACUGUUUAGACAAAAAAAGAAACAGCGUUUUAAUCCAACAAGAAACAUGGAAGCACUUCAUUCUGGUGAAAGGCUAUUUAUCACAAGUAUAAGAAUCAAAAUCAAGAAACAAGAACAAUUGAUUUUUAACAAUAUCUAAACAUAUAUUAGGUGCAUUGUAGGUAAUUUUCAUGGCAAAAGUGUCUAAAAAACUCCUUUUGAAGGAGAAAUUGCUAAAUAUUUUUGGUGAUGAUGUUACUCUGAUAAGAAUUAGGUUUAAUAUUAAGACAAAUUAGCAAUAAUCAAUACAUUAGUGACAUGUCUACAUUAGUACAUUUCAUGAUAUGUUCAGAAUUUUGCUAAAUUCUGUUUACUAAAUAAAAAUAACAAAUGCCAAGUGUACAUGAUAAUCAAACGUACCAUCAUUAACAUUUAAGUCCUCCUUAACUGAGGUUCGAUAAAAUUUCAGUCUUAGUUUCUUUGCUAACGAUUCUGCUUCGUCCCUAGAAUAAAUGACGAUUAUUAAAUAAUUAUUAUCAAAUAUGAUUAUCAGAUAAUAUAAAUACAAAUUUUGAUCUAAAAAUACAAAUAUUGUUCAGGACGUACAAUAAGAGAUAAGUAGGGAAAUUAGAAAUCCUUCAUUGAACUUCAACCAAGAUGGCUGCUGUGACGCAUAGUGAAAAUGUGAAAUUGUAUAAACAUUUAGAUUAUUAUAUAAUACAAUGCAUUAAUUUUUUGUACUUUUAAAGAGAAUAGCUUUUGACAAAAAUACUGGUCCAAUAAAUGAUAAAAAAUAUUGUACUUUCUGUAUCUACGGUAACUCCAUGCAGUAUUUUCUACUAAUAAAUGGUCUUUGUACUUAC